UUCUUCGGAACUAAUAUUAAAUAGGAAAAACUUUAAACGCCACCCUGUAAUUUUGUACUUUCUCACUUUAGUGUUCUAUGGUUUAAAAUGUAUCGUUUUCGUACCCUAUGGUUUUAUUUUUCUAUUUCUGUUAUCUCCUCCAUUAAUUUUUUUCGUUAAAUCAGUAACAAAGUUAAAUCUAAAGGAUAUUAAAGUGAAUAUUCGAUAAACUAUAGGUAGAGUAUUUGAAAUUUUUUGUAUAUGACUUAAUGAAAAGUUAACAGAGGGGCUGACGAAAAAAAAAAAAAAAAAUCACAGGAUACAAAAUUGAUACACUUUAAACUAUAGGGUUCUAAAGUAUGAAAGUACGAAACCAUAUGGAUGGUAUUUGAAGUUUACCCUAUUAAAUAAUUGUUUGGUAGAC
rnacentral:lncRNA from 1 species